rnacentral:rRNA from 1 species
GUAGUCCACGCCGUAAACGAUGAUAACUAGCUGUCCGGGCACUUGGUGCCUGGGUGGCGCAGCUAACGCAUUAAGUUAUCCGCCUGGGGAGUACGGUCGCAAGAUUAAAACUCAAAGGAUUGACGGGGGCCUGCACAAGAGGUGGAGCAUGUGGUUUAAUUCGAAGCAACGCGCAGAACCUUACCAACGUUUGACAUGGCUAGUAUGGUUUCCAGAGAUGGAUUCCUUCAGUUCGGCUGGCUAGCACACAGGUGCUGCAUGGCUGUCGUCAGCUCGUGUCGUGAG